rnacentral:rRNA from 1 species
UACGGAGGAUCCGAGCGUUAUCCGGAUUUAUUGGGUUUAAAGGGAGCGUAGGCGGCCCUAUAAGUCAGUGGUGAAAUCUCUCGGCUUAACCGAGAAAUUGCCAUUGAUACUGUAGGGCUUGAGUACAGUUGCCGUUGGCGGAAUAUGACAUGUAGUGGUGAAAUACAUAGAGAUGUCAUAGAACACCGAUUGCGAAGGCAGCUAACGAAACUGUAACUGACGCUGAGGCUCGAAAGUGCGGGGAUCAAACAGG